rnacentral:rRNA from 1 species
CGGGAAAAGCUCAAAUUUAAAAUCUGGUAGUCUUUGGCUGCCCGAGUUGUAAUUUGUAGAGGAUGUUUUGGGUACCGCACCGGUUUAAAUUUCUUGGAACAGAAUGUCAGAGAGGGUGAGAAUCCCGUCU